UUGGGCGCGUGCAGUCCCGUUGCGGCAUGCGCGCGAGUUUUCACUUUCGGCGGGCACUGUCCGCAACCUCGACACGAUUUGCUUUGUGGUCAAGGUUAAGGAUGAAGGCGGUGACACCCGGUGAACAGCUCCAUCCGAACUUGGUGCAGAGAGCAUCCAGAACUGAGCAGGUGAAGAAUGGGGCCCAGCAGAAGAGGAAUACCCCUGAAAAUAGCAAUCAAAAUAUAUGUAAUCCCUGUUCGCUUUGAAGAUGGUAAAUCUUGCUGCAGACGCUGCACUUCUGAACCUUCGGCGCGGAGUUGAUAUUAACGAGC